CUUACGGUGUUUGUUUUGGUGCGCCGGCAAAAUUUUUUUUCGCGGCUAUCCAGCAGGUUUAUCAGAUACAAUUUGUACGCCAGGGCAUUCUUAUUUGCUGGAAUGCAAAAUCCCAGUGGAAUUAUUGUUCAACAGGUUGUGUUACCGGAACUUCCCAUAGUUUUGCUCCGUGGGAGAGAGAUCGUCUUCAGCUACAUACAAGGAUCGACUUUUUGGUCACUUGAUGAAAGGUGGAAAUAAUUGGCCCAUUAUUAUGGCGAUUUCAUCCAUGCAGAAUCUCUACGGACCACACACGGACAUGAAUGAUGCUGGCGCUGAAAUUAUCUACAGGAGGUGCUGUUCGACAGGAUGAAGCAAAAUGAAAAGGCCCAGCUGCAUGGAACAAGUUUUUUUUGGUAAUAUGAACUAAGUUAUUUAAUAAAAUAAUUAAAAUUAAAA